UACAGAGGGUGCAAGCGUUGUUCGGAAUUAUUGGGCGUAAAGCGCGUGUAGGCGGCUUUGCAAGUCGGGUGUGAAAGCCCUCAGCUCAACUGAGGAAGUGCGCCCGAAACUGCAGAGCUUGAGUGCCGGAGAGGGUGGCGGAAUUCCCCAAGUAGAGGUGAAAUUCGUAGAUAUCGUUUGGAACGCCAAAGGUGAAAACAGACAGCUGGGAGUGUGCUGACGCUGAGACACGAAAGCCAGGGGAGCGAACGGG
rnacentral:rRNA from 1 species